UCUAACCCUGAAAUCGUGGGACCGCAUAGUGUUGUCUGAAUGCAKCGUUCGAUGUCCCCCCUGGGAGGUGGUGAGACACAGGCUCAGACARCCAUCCAGCUGAAGCUGGGUUGAGAAGAGAAGKCAUCACCCUGGAACUGAAAUACGGCCCAAACUCCUACGGAGGCCUAGUGGGGGAUUUUGUACAAUGGUGGCAAGCCUGGUCCCCACGCCGCGUGUUCGAUGAAUGCCGUCUGGUUGCACUGUGCUUUUGUCCKGAGARAGUGUGCCUUUUCUGUARARAGGGCUAAUGACGAUGCUUUUUGAAUAGUGACCGGCUCCUACGUGCAUCUGGCCUUCUUAAUCCUUAGGGUGGGGCUGUGCUGCAGGAUUUCCUGGCGUGRGCGUGCGCAGGCGGUGAUGUAAGACAKUUGUGAAAUCCCCGGGCUCAACCUGGGAACUGCAUCUGUGACUGCAUCGCUGGAGUACGGCAGAGGGGGAUGGAAUUCCGCKUGUAGRKUGAAAUGCGUAUAUAUGCGGAGGAACACCGAUGGCSAWGGCAAUCCCCUGGGCCUGUACUGACGCUCAUGCACGAAAGCGUGGGGAGCAAACAGGAUUAGAUACCCUGGUAUUCCACGCCCUAUACGAUGUCAACUGGUUGUUGGGUCUUCACUGACUCAGUAACGAAGCUAACGCGUGAAGUUGACCUCCUGGGGAGUACGGCCUCAUGGUUUAAACUCUUAGGAUUUGACGGUUCCGCUCAUUCGGUGGAUGAUGUG
rnacentral:rRNA from 1 species